UUUUUAUUUUUUGGAGAUGGAGAUUCAGACGUCAACACAUGUCUGAACGAAGAAGAAGACAGAGAUCUGGUUUCUUUUGUUGGGAGGUAAGUGUACAGCUGAGUAAAGAUCAUUGGAUUGGGGAGUAUCAAAUCCCAUCAUCUCUUAAAACUUCAUAGGUCAAAAACUGAGAAUCCCUUACCAGUAAUUAUCUAAUGUUGUCUUUUUAGCAUCAAAACAAUGUCGUCUUCGUACUCUGAUGCGCUCUGGCUGAUCAAAUGCAACAUGUGAUGAAAAAAAAGUGAUGGACUUGGUUCAUAAGAAUUAACGGGUUCUAAUCAAUGUGAAACAUGGAAGAUUGAUUCACGAGAAGGAGUUGGUGAAGUGUCUAGUGGAAGUGUGAAUUGUAAUGCAUAUUUAGGCACAUGUUUUUGUUUAACUAGCAUUGUCAAUGAAUCACUUACUAACAUAUGUUAUUUGAUACUUCUAAUGUUAGUUGAUAUGUAAAUGUUACAGUCUAAAAUUAUAUGAUGUAAUAAAUGUUACUGUCUAAAUUUAUCAGUAGAUGAUAACAAUUAUAAAU